rnacentral:rRNA from 1 species
GCUAAUAACCGGAUAACAACACUAGACGCAUGUCUAGAGUUUAAAAGAAUGGUUCUGCUAUCACUCUUGGAUGGACCUGCGGUGCAUUAGCUAGUUGGUAAGGCAACGGCUUACCAAGGCAAUGAUGCAUAGCCGAGUUGAGAGACUGAUCGGCCACAUUGGGACUGAGACACGGCCCAAACUCCUACGGGAGGCAGCAGUA